GUUAUAUGAUCAAGUAAAGGAAGAGCACAAGGCGGAUGCCUUGGCAGCAUAAGGCGAUGAAGGACGUAAUAACCUGCGAUAAGCCUCGGGGAGCUGGUAAAUAAGCUUCGAUCCGAGGAUUUCCGAAUGGGAAAACCCAAUAUACAUAAGUAUAUUAUCUUAUACUGAAUACAUAGGUAUAAGAGGCAAACCUAGGGAACUGAAACAUCUAAGUACCUAGAGGAAAAGAAAUCAAUUGAGAUUCCGGUAGUAGCGGCGAGCGAAACCGGAUCAGCCCUUAAGCUUAUUUUAGUCCAGCAAAAUAUUCUGGAAAGUUUAGCCAUAGUAGGUGAUAGCCCUGUAUGCGAAAGACUAUUUUAAGUGAAAACGAGUAGGUCGGGACACGUGAAAUCUUGACUGAAUAUGGGGGGACCAUCCUCCAAGGCUAAAUACUCUAUGCUGACCGAUAGUGAACCAGUACCGUGAGGGAAAGGCGAAAAGAACCCCGGCGAGGGGAGUGAAAUAGAACCUGAAACCUUGUGCUUACAAGCAGUCGGAGCAGACUUGUUCUGUGACGGCGUACCUUUUGUAUAAUGGGUCAACGACUUAAUUUCAGUAGCAAGCUUAACCAAUUAGGGUAGGCGUAGGGAAACCGAGUCUUAAUAGGGCGUUUAGUUUCUGGAAUUAGACCCGAAACCGGGUGAUCUAUCCAUGGCCAGUGUGAAGGUCGAGUAACAUCGACUGGAGGCGCGAACCCACUUAUGUUGAAAAAUGAGGGGAUGAGCUGUGGAUAGGAGUGAAAGGCUAAUCAAACCCGGAGAUAGCUGGUUCUCUUCGAAAACUAUUUAGGUAGUGCCUCGUGUAUUACCGUAGGGGGUAGAGCACUGUUUCGGCUAGGGGGUCAUCCCGACUUACCAAACCGAUGCAAACUCCGAAUACCUACGAGUAUGAGCACGGGAGACAGACUGCGGGUGCUAACGUCCGUAGUCGAGAGGGAAACAACCCAGACUGUCAGCUAAGGUCCCUAAUUAUGGUUAAGUGGGAAACAAUGUGGGAAGGCACAAACAGCUAGGAGGUUGGCUUAGAAGCAGCCAUCCUUUAAAGAAAGCGUAAUAGCUCACUAGUCGAGUCGGCCUGCGUGGAAGAUAUAACGGGGCUAAACCAUAAACCGAAGCUACAGAUCUUAAAUUUAUUUAAGAUGGUAGAAGAGCGUUCUGUAAGCGGCUGAAGGUAAGCUGAAAGGCGAACUGGACGUAUCAGAAGUGCGAAUGUUGACAUGAGUAACGAUCAAAGAGGUGAAAAACCUCUUCGCCGAAAAACCAAGGGUUCCUGUCCAACGCUAAUCGAGGCAGGGUGAGGCGGCCCCUAAGGCGAGGGCGAAAGCCGUAGUCGAUGGGAAACAGGUUAAUAUUCCUGUGCUGAGAACUGAUGACGACCACUCUAUGAGUGGGAAGUAGUCGAUACCAUGCUUCCAGGAAAAACCUCUAAGCUUCAGGUUGUAAGAAACCGUACCCUAAACCGACACAGGUGGUUAGGUCGAGUAGACCAAGGUGUUUGAGAGAACUAUGGUGAAGGAACUAGGCAAAAUAGCACCGUAACUUCGGGAGAAGGUGCGCCGCGGUUAGUGAUGAGACUUGCUCUCUAAGCUGAACGUGGUCGAAGAUACCAGGUGGCUGCGACUGUUUACUAAAAACAUAGCACUCUGCAAACUCGUAAGAGGAAGUAUAGGGUGUGACGCCUGCCCGGUGCCGGAAGGUUAAUUGAUGGGGUUAGCUUAUGCGAAGCUCUUGAUCGAAGCCCCGGUAAACGGCGGCCGUAACUAUAACGGUCCUAAGGUAGCGAAAUUCCUUGUCGGGUAAGUUCCGACCUGCACGAA
rnacentral:rRNA from 1 species